AGAGGCUCCCGUUGCUAGGCCCUGUGGAAACACAUCACUCGUCUCUUCCCCAAAGAGUUCACAAUCCGGACAGACAAAAGAUGUGCCAGUGCCCAUCGGUGACUGAAACUGAACCACCUUGCGAUGGCCCCUUUCCGGCGAAAGCGGGAGGGAAGCAUCCCAGCAGUGGUGAACAUAGGAACCAAGAGCGAGACCAGGACCCCAAAGAAUGGGAGUGUGGCAGGCCGGUCCCUGGAGCUGCAAAGGGGACAUUGGGGCGUUCCCUGCGCCACGUUGAUGCAGGAGCCUGGAUUGCAAAGCGCAGCUCCUUCCCUGCUCUAGGCUAGGAGCGGCUGGGAGCUCUCUGGAGUCAGCAUCUUCAGGCCCAGUCCUCGGCGAGAGGGCAGAAGUGGGUCAAAUGAAGGCCUCGUUGUAUGGCCUGGACACCCCUGUACAGAUUGCUUCUGCCCGACUGAACGCUGCAUGCGGGUCCUUGGGAGCCUUCACAAACUCUUCCCACAAAACCACCAACUCUUACUUGCCAGGCUCUGCUGGCAGGACUUAGAUAACGUUUAAACGUGUGUAACGGCAGCAGGCAGGGUCUGUCUGCGUUGGGAUCAGGGCCCGCCUGCGCUGGGCAGUUUGCAAACAUAUAUAGGGUGGAGAGUAAGGACUAACAAGAUUUUAAAGUGCGGGGGGGGGGGGAGUGAGGUGUGGGAAUCUCAAAGUUGCAUAGACCAGCUGUGCUCGUUAAAUCCGAGUGAGUGAUGGCUGUACAGGCCAGUCAUCGUGUACAUAGGUUACCUUGCUCCAGGUAGAAGCAGAAAGAGGAGUGUUUUCCCCUGCCUUGUAACUGGGGUGGGUGACGCUUCGGUGAAUUGAAAUUGAAGGUUGUCUGGGGUUAAUGUCGGUUUGCAAGUCUCUCUAACGCCUCCCCCUCCUCUCUGGAACUCUGCCGUGAGGACCCGAGAGUCUGAGAUCCCUCCAGCUGAUGUAUGGAGGGGCUGUGGGGCCUACUCAUAUGGUUGGGCGCUCAUCAUUUUGGGCAUGUCUGAAAACUUUACCCAAAUUCCAAGUGACUUAAAAGUGUAAUGUCCCUUGACCUCGGCCAAGAUUUUCAAAAGUGACUUGGGUAGUUGUAGUUUUUCAGGGCCAGGCCUGAGACACCUUAAAGGGGCCUGACUUUCAGAAGGUGGGCGUCUUUCUCAAAAACCGGUCCCUUGACCUGCUUUCCAAUGGGGCACCCGAAAUCUCUAGUCACGUCUGAAAACGGUUGAGGCUUCGUCCGUACGCUAGGCAGGUGCCAAAGUUGCUUUUGAAAAUGGGCCUUAGGCUCCUUGCUCGUGGGUGUCUUAGGCACUCAUGGAAACGUCACCCUUCCUCACGAACUCCUGCCUGUGCUGUGUGGGGUGGGGGAGUGCUUGCCGCUGCAGUAGAGCAGGGCUGGAAAGGUGCAAAAUAACAUUUCUGUAGUUACGGAGCAAUCUGCUGCCCGCUAUCAAGGCAGGUAGAACAGCUGAGGAACAGGUAAGCGAUAGCCACAAUGUUUUAUUCAGUAAAACUUAAAAAUUGGUACAGCUUGUGGUUCUGGGUGUCUCCCGGGGUUUUACCCCGGCACUGUUGUGUAUGUCAGAGAUUCCUACAGAUCUUCAUCCAAGGCUCCUUGAAGUCAACAGAGAGACUCCCAUCAACUUCAGUGAGCUCUGGAUCAGGCAAAUGGUGAAACAGGAGGGAACUCGGAGGAAAAAACUCAGCAACGUGUUUCUUUAACAGUGAAAGACCCAAGACUUCAGUUCGUUAACUGAGGCCCGUCCGACUGCUUUGCCCGUGAGGUGGCUUGGGUUUUUCCUCCCUGCGUAAAAAUUCAGAUCUACCCCUAACUCUCAUGUUGUCAGAAACAGUAGGCCCAACCUGCGUAUAGCACCUGGCACUCUUGCGCCCUGCAAAACUGGGACUUUGUUAACGAACAAAACACAACGAGCAAGAAAAUAAAUAGCUGUUCAAUACCUUGUUUUAGACAAUUAAACCAAAAACAAAGCAGCAAGAAGGGAAGUGGUAGUUUCAGUUCCCACAAUCUGCAGAUUUGCAGUGGCAACCACACCAAAUUCUGCCGAAAGUCGUUCUCUGUUGAGAACUGAAGGCUUCUACUCGCCAAGGCAAGAUUUUAAGAUUUUGCACCACUUGUGGGCAUGGCAGCUGCCUAAAUCAGUUCAGGAGAGACCGCUAGCUGCCCUUCUAUGUCUUAGGUGUUGAUGACCUCUCCACUGUUUGCAGGAGACAAGAUCUUGCUGGAUGAUUAAAGUAAAAAAUAUCUUCCAGCAAUGCUUUAUCUGUAACUUAAAAUUCUGUGCAUGUCUAGUGACUUGAGAUUUUAAUACACUGUUGCCAAAACCAGGUAAGUUUAACAAGUUUUUCCUGUCUUAACGAGCAAGGGGAAAGCUCCCGUAUUUAAUAAUACCUAGCUCUUACCUCCUUUGUACAGUAUCAUUAUCCCCAUUUUACAGAUGGUGUACAGUGUGACGUGACUUGCCCAAAGUCACCUGGGAAGCCAAUGGCAGAGCUGGAACUAGAAACCACAUCUCCUAAGUCCCAGUCCAGUGCUCUGUCCUAUAGGCUACACUGCUCCUCUUUUACAUAUUUCGUUUUAUGGUCACCCAUAGUCUCAGCGUUGAGUGCACUGUAGUAAAUGACUGUUCUCUAAUAGCUUAUUCUCUUUCAGCUCUCCAAAGCAAACUCUCAUUAUAUCAGGAGCCAUAACGAGGGUCUGUCCGAUUUAGCCCCUACACAGUCUUUCUAGGGCCACAAAGACUUCCCUCCAGCCACUGCCCAGAUGGCUCACCAGAAACCGCAGCCCUGCCUGGAGAAGUUUGGUGCGAUGUUGUGGGGCAAUCUGCACGUCCCCCAGCCCCGCAAGUGAACCGGCAGGAAGCAGCACCUGGGUCUGAAAAGAUGAGACAGAGCACGUGAGAGAAGGCUAAAAUCAGACUGGGGGAGCAAAGCCAAACCUCGUGCUGAGCCUCACAGAACAACAGCGUCCUUUGUAUUUAGUGAGGCUUGAAACUAAUUCACCUUUCAGUUCUCCCUCCUCCCCCAAGGAUCAGUCAAUGUCUAGAGCUUUUAAAACUCCCUUUAAAAUAGAGGGUCCUGUGGCACCUUUAAGACUAACAGAAGUAUUGGGAGCUUUUUACAGAUUCAGACUAACACGGCUACCCCUCUGAUGCUUUAAAAUAGAGAGGUCUGUGUUUUAAAAUAUAUGUUUUGAGGGGUGGGGGGAAUCAGGGAGCCGGCCUUAGUAAGCUGGAGUAGUCUGUUCAUGUCGGGAGCAAUAUGGAUUGAAUUUGGAUCCCAGCCCUUAAAAUGGUGACAACUUUCUCUUAAGCUCUCAAAGUGACUCGGAGAAGCAGUAGCGGUCGUCGUGCGGAAUCCAGAUGGCGGAAUGGAUACGUAGCCAGCUGUCCUGCUUUUUAUGUGGUGCAGGUGGGGGCAGUGGGGUCUCGUUAAUGGGGGACAAGAGGUGUAGGAGGAUGGGGUGGACGUGCUUUGCAUCGGCCACCCGCCAGAGAGGGAGGAAAAGAGGGUUUUCUGUGACUUGCUAUUGAUGUGGCUCUGUGUAGUGACCAUAGACUGAAGGGGACCGGGGAAGGGCCAACAAACUGGUUGGUUACGGAGCAGCCUCAGUGACAUCAAGGCUCCUUUCCAGUCUUCACUGAGUAGUGGGAUUGCUCGGUGCUUUGAAAGAGAACGUGCCUGUCUGAUUUCGGAUUGGUUUUGCCUUUUGGAGGGGGCCAGCUGAACCUUGAGACUGUAAUUACAUGGUUUCGCCUGGUCCCUUCUAAUGUACUGGGAAUUUAUCUUCACCCCACUGUUCUUUAUGGCAGGGGCUCUGUUUUAUUUCUCUUUCUGUGCCUGUAUGUUUGGGAUUUUUUUUCUACAUUUAAAAAUAUCAAGUCCAUUAGCAGAAGAGUUUAGUAUUAGUCCAGAUUAAUUACUGGUUGGUUUGGUUUUGCCCUGCCCUAUGGUUAACAUAGCUUCCAGAGACUGAAUUGUGCCUCCACGUUGUUGUUUUGCCAUGUGUAUUUUGACAGACAUGUGGUCAGAAGCUGGGCUCUAAAAAUGCCUGAACUUGUGUCAUGUAGCUGGCUCCAGACCCCAUCUGUAAAAUGCUCGUGUGACGUGUUAGUGGCUUCUAGUUAAACCUGGAAUCCCCUCUUCUAAAUUCAGGCAUCAGGGCCCCUAAUUAACUAAGAUUACCUUGUCUGCAUCAUGCAUAAAAAAUUCUUUCUGGUGAUCUUGAGGUUGGUUUGUUUAAUUGACUUUUAUUAAAAAAAGAUUUAAAAUUGAAAUUCACAUGAAUCCCCUGAGCUGUUAAGUAACUUUUUUCUUCUAAGGCUGUAAUCGGAGAAGGUUGUUAAUGGACCUCAGCUGCAACAUUCUAAAUGAUCUGAACUUGCCCAAAGAUCCAGGGUUUUCAUUAAGAUUGAGAAGCUUGGAUCAGAUCCACCUCUAGCAGGCCAGGUUGGUUUUCCGUACCCACACCACAGGAGACAGACUGUAAACUGCGGCCUCGCAGGAACUCAAUGGUCAGGCAGACUUGAAGCUCUGAUGGAUCUGAUCCAGAGUACAGUAAUUGCAAAUUAAGAAAUUAGUAUAUCAUUGCUUUCUAUGCAGUAGAGUUGCACCUUCUUAACUAGUUGGUAAAUUUGGCCUGAGAUGUAUUAAAAACCCUCUACCUGUAGACUCGUGACCUCAGUGUGGUGGUGGUGGUGUUGCACCCUUUAGAUAUCUCUUAUUGCUACCUGAAAUGUGGGCUGACUUUGAAACUGGUUGAAUACUUUAGCUCUAGAGAGGAACCACUAGUAACUUGCGUUGCUUGGUGAAAGCCGAAAUGAGCCUUAUUCUCUAGGCGCUGAAGCCUAGGUGUGUGUGAGAGAGCACGAGAGAGGGGUCUCUGGUGUCACCGGAGGUUUUGUUCCCGAUUCCACGCACCUCAGGAUGCUAACUGUGCCUCUCACCUGACCUGCUCUGUUUGUUAUUGAUGGCAUAAAGGAUAUUUUUGUUUGGCCUUGUGUUCAUCCCGCUUACUACCUGCCCAGGAGCAGGUGGCAGUGAGCUUGUUGACGGGGGAUUUAGAAGAGAAUGCGUUUAAGUACAAAACAAAACAAAAAAGUUGCUUUUUAUGCUUGUAUUUGACCAAAGCAAACUCAUGCCUCUAACAGGAAUCCAAAUGUGCUCUGCAAUCGGGAAUCCAGCCAUUUCUAUCGCUGCAUUCUUGUUUACAGAUCUUUCAUUCACUUCUCUCUCCAUUGCUACUGCUCCCAAUAUACAGUUUUGCUCUGACCAUGUCACCCAGUUAUUUCAGUGACUUGAGAUUGGCUUGCUAACAAGGGAUGGAGACCACUCUGUGUUUCAGGAGCAGUCUGUAUUUUAUAAGACUAAUUGGAAGCUGUGGUUGUCCCUGGUAAGUGAAAAGACCUUGCAUCAUGUUAGUCCAACAUGAGGAGUUCACCAUUAGUGAAAUGGCUCUUUGCAGAGUGGCCAAGUGUGUGCCCUUUGAGAGCCCAAAACUGGGCCAGAGCCUGGUGUCUCAUGCCUGUCAAGCAUCACUCAGUGUCCCAAAAAAUUACAAAUACUGUGCUGUGUCUCUGCCAGCAGAUCCUAGGGAUUCUCUGGUGAUGCGGUCCCUGUGCAUCAGAGAUCAGAAUCCAGCCCAGACUUUGCAAGGGCACAGCAUGCUCGCACAAUGCGUCACAUGUUCAGUUCCAGAUAUCGCUACAUGUCUGUAGUCAGUUAAGCCCCUUAAUUCAUGGUUAAAAUGUUAGUUAGUUGAUGGGAUGCAAAUUACAAAAAAGCAAUUUUAAAGAAAAAAUAUUUAAGCCUAGUUUUGUUCAUGGCCCUUUGAGUUUUUUAGGCUGUGUUGGUUAAUCAUCUUUUUUGCUGAAGUGUGUAUGUAACUGAAUAUUUUAUAAGAUGUGGUUGGUCUUUUUAAAUGUCUUAGGUUAUUUUCACUUGUAAAAUAAUAAAGGCUGUUGGACUGAGAA